UACUUGAGCCUCCUUGGAGGCAGAACCCCUGGAGACGCCAUCCGCAGGAUACUGCGGACAGUUGGAGUAAACAGCCUUUGGUCGCAGUACAGCAUGAAGAGAAGGAAGGGGAAAAAAAAUUUCAAGACCUUGACAUUUGCAGUGUUGUUAUUCAGGCUUGUCAAAGGAUUCACCCGAAGGUACAAGUCAAGGUGUUUGAAGAAUACAUUGCAGAAACCCUGAAGUACGCUCCUCAUCGAUAUUCAAGGACAGAGCAUGAAGAGACUGGACCUGCUAGUCUGGCACCACCACACACUCAUAUUCUCACUGAUUAAGCUUAAUUUAUAGAUACAAUGAGUUCCUAGUACAAG